rnacentral:rRNA from 1 species
UGGGGAAUUUUGGACAAUGGGCGCAAGCCUGAUCCAGCCAUGCCGCGUGUGGGAAGAAGGCCUUCGGGUUGUAAACCACUUUUGUCAGGGAAGAAACGGCCUGAUCUAAUACAUUGGGUUAAUGACGGUACCUGAAGAAUAAGCACCGGCUAACUACGUGCCAGCAGCCGCGGUAAUACGAAGGGUGCUAGCGUUGUUCGGAAUCACUGGGCGUAAAGCGCGCGUAGGCGGCGAUAUAAGUCAGAGGUGAAAGCCUGGAGCUCAACUCCAGAACUGCCUUUGAAACUAUAUUGCUAGAGUGUCGGAGGGGAUAGCGGAAUUGCUAAUGUAGAGGUGAAAUUCGUAGAUAUUAGCAGGAACACCGGUGGCGAAGGCGGCUAUCUGGACGACAACUGACGCUGAGGCGCGAAAGCGUGGGGAUCAAACAGGAUUAGAUACCCACGUAGUCCCUGAGCGGGCUGGCAAGGCGCAU